rnacentral:rRNA from 1 species
UAGGGAAUAUUGGACAAUGGGCGCAAGCCUGAUCCAGCCAUGCCGCGUGAGUGAUGAAGGCCUUAGGGUUGUAAAGCUCUUUCAGCGGGGAAGAUAAUGACGGUACCCGCAGAAGAAGCCUCGGCUAACUCCGUGCCAGCAGCCGCGGUAAUACGGAGGAGGCUAGCGUUGUUCGGAAUUACUGGGCGUAAAGCGUGCGUAGGCGGUUUUCUAAGAUGAGUGUGAAAGCCCGGAGCUCAACUCCGGAACUGCGCUCAUGACUGGAAUACUUGAGUCCGAGAGAGGUGAGUGGAAUUCCCAGUGUAGAGGUGAAAUUCGUAGAUAUUGGGAAGAACACCAGUGGCGAAGGCGGCUCACUGGCUCGGUACUGACGCUGAUGCACGAAAGCGUGGGGAGCAAACAGG